CAACCUGCCGCCGCGCGCCCAGGUGAAGCCGCCCGGACCCUCCGCCGCCGCCGCGCCCUUUAAUGGUGAAUAUUUGGAUUCUCUUCUUGGAUGCUUGAGAUUCUCUGGGAAGAGCUGAAAGAGAUGGAAGUGUCAAAGAAGGAGUUGAAGGAAUCAACCAGAGCCUUUGUUUUGGAACGUGACUUACAGGAAAACAAAUUCCAUCAGCACCAACUCUACUGUCUGGAUUUAUUGUGGACUUGGGGCUGCAGAAACUGUGUGAUACCAUCUUACAGAGAGGCUUUUAAAAAUGUUGACACAUUGCAACUAGUUACCUGAUCAAUGAACUGAGGCUGUUAUUCCUAGUAUUUCUGUUAUGGACUGUAAAAUUGCAGCAGUAGCAGGUUUGUUUUACUAUUUACUGAAGUUAUGAAAGAAAAUAAAAAAUGAAAGGACAGGAUG